AGCGCCGGUAAGGUGAUAUGAACCGUUAUAACCGGCGAUACCCGAAUGGGGAAACCCAGUGUGACUCGUCACACUAUCAUUAACUGAAUCCAUAGGUUAAUGAGGCGAACCGGGGGAACUGAAACAUCUAAGUACCCCGAGGAAAAGAAAUCAACCGAGAUUCCCCCAGUAGCGGCGAGCGAACGGGGAGGAGCCCAGAGCCUGAAUCAGCAUGUGUGUUAGUGGAAGCGUCUGGAAAGGCGCGCGAUACAGGGUGACAGCCCCGUACACAAAAGCGCAUGUGCUGUGAGCUCGAUGAGUAGGGCGGGACACGUGGUAUCCUGUCUGAAUAUGGGGGGACCAUCCUCCAAGGCUAAAUACUCCUGACUGACCGAUAGUGAACCAGUACCGUGAGGGAAAGGCGAAAAGAACCCCGGCGAGGGGAGUGAAAAAGAACCUGAAACCGUGUACGUACAAGCAGUGG
rnacentral:rRNA from 1 species